ACUCAACACUAUUAUAUUUGAAAAGGGUGAGUUUAAGCUGUGAAAGCGGGCCCUACCAGCAUAGGGAUUUUUGAGCAGCUUGUUAGCCCUAAACCUGUAAUUAGGAGUUU
rnacentral:sRNA from 1 species